GACGAACGCUGGCGGCGUGCUUAACACAUGCAAGUCGAGCGGAGCGGCGAACGGGUGAGUAACGCGUGAGUAACUGCCCCCCUCUCUGGGAUAACAGUUGGAAACGGCUGCUAAUACCGGAUAGUGGGGGAUGACUCGCGUCCUAUCAGCUUGUUGGUGGGGUAGUGGCCUACCAAGGCGAAGACGGGUAGCCGGCCUGAGAGGCUGAUCAGUCACACUGGACUGAGACACGGUCCAGACUCCGACGGGAGGCAGCAGUGGGGAAUAUGGGACAAUGGGCGAAAGCCUGAUGCAGCAACGCCGCGGGCGGGAUGACGGCCUUCGGGUUGUAAACCGCUUUCAGCCAUGACGCGGUAGUGGCAGAAGAAGCACCGGCUAACUACGUGCCAGCAGCCGCGGUAAUAC
rnacentral:rRNA from 1 species